GGUUUCGAAAUGGCCUAUACUUGUAUCCCUUUUAUAUUUAGUUUAUUGUAAGGUAUAUUUUACGCUGGCAUAAGGAAUUUUGUACAUAACACUUGAUGUAAUUACAAUGCGUUAAAUAUGGUAAUUUCCAUCGGAAUUUUGACGAACUCCUAUACCAACUGUACACCUUGUUGCGGGAAUAUGACUCUUCAGAAUGUUCAUUUUUCACUAUGAACACAAUGUGUUAAAAUCCGCUAUAGUACUCAUGUAAGUGUGUCACGUUCCGGGAUCAGCCUGUGUGUAUGCGGUUCCAAUAUGCCGGCAUAAUUGUAUCGACUGCUGAGGAGUAAUCAUCUCUUCACUCCACUUAAAAUCAGGUUCGUCGGUUCAGCAGUGGACUUUAUGUGGCUGAUGAUGAUGAUGAUGAUGCCAAGUACAGCCUGACGAGGCAAAUAAAAAAUCUGGUAUGGGUACGCCUCUUUAGCUUUCCGGUUAAAAUUAAGUCACAAGAAAAUAGUUUCACAUUUUACAACAACACGGCGGGGUUUUUUAUUUUCCUGGUCAGACAAUAAUAAAGUUUAUCAGUAAAGCUCAAACGGUAUUUGUUAGUCUAUGUUUCAGAUGCGCCGCUGAGUCGGGAGAUGCACGUAACAGUAAAUCCCAGUCGUGCCUCCGCCGGUCCACUCUAGCAUACUAAUGCGGAUUGCGACACUGUUUCCAUUGUUUAUGGAUUUAAUUUAAUAUAUCGGAGAACUUCAGAUUUGUAAUAUAACAGGAUUUAACUUGAUAGGCGACCGUGCGAAAAUAAUAGGCGUGCACCGACAGGGCGGGACGAUGCGCUUGCGCACGGAAUGCGGCUUGCGUAAUGCGCAUGCGCUUGUGGAACCUUGUUGCCGAAUGAGUUGAUGUUCCCUUAACGGGCGAGGUGGAAAGUAGAAAUUCCAGUGAAACUAAGGAUGAACGAAACAUUUAUGGUACAUAUUUAUAUAUAGUCAUAUAAGGUAAUUAUAAUAUCUCAGUACGUAUAUACAAAAAUAUGGUUCUUCAUCAUUUGAUUCUCACGAGACACGAUUUGAAUCGUUUAUGCUAUUCUGUUUUAAUCAAUAUUAGUAUCACUGCAUUUGUCGAGUUGUUAUGAUAACGAGGCGUUACGCAAGAAAUGGUAGAAAUUAUUCAACUUGUCUUGAAAAUUCUCACUUUAUAUCUAAGCUAUUGGAUGUAUUUGACAUACUGCAGAAUAACGCUAUCAUCGAGUGAAAGUAAUCCAAAAAUAUCAAAACAAUCACAUUACUAAAUCACAAUUAAACUUCAAAGCGUUAUUCAGAUUCGUAUCAUAACAACAUUCUCGUAUUUAUUUAAGACAAAACGAAUAAUUUUAUGACUAUAAAAAUAAUCAUGGCGCCGAAAACAGCGACGGCGCCAUUUUAAACUUGGAACAACAAGUCCUCUAUUUUAUUCAGACGGCUUUAUACCAUAGACUAUGCUAUUUCGGUGGCGGCGUGACGGUGCUCUG